rnacentral:rRNA from 1 species
UACGUAGGGUGCAAGCGUUAUCCGGAAUCAUUGGGCGUAAAGCGUUCGUAGGUGGUUUAGAAAGUUUGUAGUUAAAUCCGAUCGCUCAACGAUCGAAUCGCUACAAAAACUCCUAGACUAGAGAAUGACAGAGGCAACUGGAAUUUCGCAUGUAGGGGUAAAAUCCGUUGAUAUGCGAAGGAACACCAAAAGCGAAGGCAGGUUGCUGGGUCAUUUCUGACACUCAAGAACGAAAGCGUGGGGAGCAAACAGG